AUUGAACGCUGGCGGCAGGCCUAACACAUGCAAGUCGAGCGGAUGAAGGGAGCUUGCUCCUGGAUUCAGCGGCGGACGGGUGAGUAAUGCCUAGGAAUCUGCCUGGUAGUGGGGGAUAACGUCCGGAAACGGGCGCUUAUACCGCAUACGUCCUGACGACGACAGUGUGGGAUCUUCGGACCUCACGCUGUCAUAUGAGCCUAGGUCGGAUUAGCUAGUUGGUGGGGUAAAGGGCUACCAAGACGACGAUCCGUAACUGGUGUGAGAGGAUGGUCAGUCACACGGGAGGUGAGACACCGUCCAGACUCCUACGAGAGGCAGCAGUGGGGAACAUGAGACAACGGGCGAGAGCCUGAUCCAGCCAUGGCGCGCGUGUUACGGAGGUGUUCGGAGUGUAAAGACCGCCAAGUUGGGAGGAAGGGCAGUAAGUUAAUACCUAGCUGUUGUGACGGUACCAACAGAAGAAGCACCGGCUAACUACGUG
rnacentral:rRNA from 1 species